AGUUUCCUGAAGACUGAAAGUCUACUUUGCCUUUGCUGCUCAAUUCCUGCACCUGCAAGUUGACUGAGUCGUUGGCUUCAGUGCCAAUUAGUGAUGGAGAAGCGGCGCCUUGAAUGAAGCUUUUUUUUUUUUCUGCAACAUGUGUUGUCUGACCUUGUGUAACUGAAUAAAAACCAGUGGAAAUC